UACAGAGGUCUCAAGCGUUGUUCGGAUUCAUUGGGCGUAAAGGGUGCGUAGGCGGCGCGGUAAGUCAGGUGUGAAAUCUUGGAGCUUAACUCCGAAACUGCAUUCGAUACUGCCGUGCUUGAGGACUGGAGAGGAGACUGGAAUUUACGGUGUAGCGGUGAAAUGCGUAGAUAUCGUAAGGAAGACCAGUGGCGAAGGCGGGUCUCUGGACAGUUCCUGACGCUGAAGCACGAAGGCCAGGGGAGCAAACAGG
rnacentral:rRNA from 1 species